CAGUAGCCGCGGUAAUACGGAGGGUGCAAGCGUUAAUCGGAAUUACUGGGCGUAAAGCGCACGCAGGCGGUUUGUUAAGUCAGAUGUGAAAUCCCCGAGCUUAACUUGGGAACUGCAUUUGAAACUGGCAAGCUAGAGUCUUGUAGAGGGGGGUAGAAUUCCAGGUGUAGCGGUGAAAUGCGUAGAGAUCUGGAGGAAUACCGGUGGCGAAGGCGGCCCCCUGGACAAAGACUGACGCUCAGGUGCGAAAGCGUGGGGAGCAAACAGGAUUAGAUACCCGAGUAGUCCCUGUCUCUUAUAA
rnacentral:rRNA from 1 species